rfam:TPA: Bos taurus chromosome 23, whole genome shotgun sequence.
UCAAAGGCUCUUUUCAGAGCCACUCACUUUUUCUGGAAAGUGCUGG